rnacentral:tRNA from 1 species
GAAAAUUUAGUUAAACUAUAACAUUAGAGAGUCAAACUAAAAUCAUUAAAUUCAAUAAUUUUCU